UACGUAGGGGGCUAGCGUUAUCCGGAUUUACUGGGAGUAAAGGGUGCGUAGGCGGUCUUUCAAGUCAGGAGUGAAAGGCUACGGCUCAACCGUAGUAAGCCUUUGAAACUGGGAAACUUGAGUGCAGGAGAGGAGAGUGGAAUUCCUAGUGUAGCGGUGAAAUGCGUAGAUAUUAGGAGGAACACCAGUUGCGAAGGCGGCUCUCUGGACUGUAACUGACACUGAGGCACGAAAGCGUGGGGAGCAAACAGGAUUAGAUACCCGCGUAGUCCCUGAG
rnacentral:rRNA from 1 species